GUGAUCCAUCAGGAGCACUCAAACAAUCCCAGCUAUUAGCAUUAUUGAAAGUAAAGCAACCAUAUCACCUUCACGAACGCAGUCUGGUCACACUUGCGGAGCACUGAGUUUGUCUUAGAAACUAUGCAUGUCUCUGGGAGAGGGGGAAGACAAGACAUAAUAUUUGCCUGAAGGGUGCUCACAGGAUGAAGGUCCAUCGACAAAUUAUUACAAAAGAAAAUGUGAAGAAAAUGCAGAAAUGGAUUGCAAAGGGUACACCGACAGCAGAGAGAGACAGAAGGCAGAUUCAAUGGAAUACAAGAGACUAGCCGUGGGGGAGAGAGGGGGAGAAGUGAUGCUGCUUGCAAGGGUCGAUGCACACUGCAAUUCACCUCCAGAAUACCACUCUCAACUCCAAACUUCUCUCAGUUGUACGGUGAGAGUGAAGACAACAGAGCAAGGAGACUCUGGCUCCCAUUAGGUGGCCUCUCCUUCUCUGCUUCCGUGUUAUUUCCUUAAAGCUCUGCUUGGUAAGUGUGCAAAAGGAAGGUUUAGAUUUUGCUGACUCAAAGAACAAUAUAGAAAGCAUCUAAAACAUUUCUUUGCAUUUUAUGACUACAAACAGAGAACGGGAAGUGAGGAAGCAGAAGGCUUGUAGGGCUUCUUGGCUCAUGAACUGCCUAUAUGCUGUUUCCACAGUCCUUUCCUGAUCUCCAUAUUCCUCAGAGCACAGAAGUGCUACCUGCGAACUCUCCUUGGUCCAGGGAUGCAGAGAGAGAAAGAGGAAACAGGCAGGCAAUUACCCCAUGUGGCUCAGAGUCACAAGGCCAAGGGAAGCCACGCUGUAUAGAAGAGGAGCUUGGCUUCCUGGUUCACCUUUGUCAUCUUUCCUAGACUGCAGUAAACAGAGUCACCAGCAUCUUACCUCCAGGACUACACCAACUCUAAUGUACCUUACCAGUUGCUGCCAGAGGGGCCUUUCUAACUCAUAAAUUAGCAUAAUCCUCCAGUUCUUCAAAAUCCUACAGUAGCCACCUCGGGGAUGGGAUAAAGGUGAGUGUGACUCAUAGUCAUCUGGACCCUUCCCCUCUACUUCUCAAGCUCAUCUUUCCCCACCCAUUUUACUACAACACAACUGAACAGUAUGCCAUCGCCCCCUCUUUAGAUUGGUUUUCUGGAGAACUCAGAGACAUCCUUCAAAACUCCAUAUGACUACCUCAGAAUGUCAACCAUGUAGGCUUUCUGCUGUUUUCCUGCUCUCGUUUAAAGCCUUGUGUUCCCUUCAACUUCAACACCUCUCCUAUCCAACAACCUUCCUAAACCAAGAGAUUUAGAACCUUACGUGAUUUGAGUUAUCCUCUCUCUUGCAACUUGCCUUUCAUUUUAUAGGACUGAAGGACUCCCAAAUCUGGUUGUCCAGAGAAAACAUCAAAGGAGAGAAAGGAUUCAGUAUCACUGAGCUGUAGGGCCUCCCAUGUACCUACUCUCUUGAUCUCACAACAGUUCAUUAGAGUAUUUGACUUUCAUUUUACAGAAUAAAACACUGGGCUCAAAGACA
rnacentral:lncRNA from 1 species